UAGGGAAUCUUCGGCAAUGGACGGAAGUCUGACCGAGCAACGCCGCGUGAGUGAAGAAGGUUUUCGGAUCGUAAAGCUCUGUUGUAAGAGAAGAACGAGUGUGAGAGUGGAAAGUUCACACUGUGACGGUAUCUUACCAGAAAGGGACGGCUAACUACGUGCCAGCAGCCGCGGUAAUACGUAGGUCCCGAGCGUUGUCCGGAUUUAUUGGGCGUAAAGCGAGCGCAGGCGGUUAGAUAAGUCUGAAGUUAAAGGCUGUGGCUUAACCAUAGUACGCUUUGGAAACUGUUUAACUUGAGUGCAAGAGGGGAGAGUGGAACUCCAUGUGUAGCGGUGGAAUGCGUAGAUAUAUGGAAGAACACCAGUGGCGAAGGCGGCUACCUGGUCUGCAACUGACGCUGAGACUCGAAAGCAUGGGUAGCGAACAGGAUUAGAUACCCUGGUAGUCCAUGCCGUAAACGAUGAGUGCUAGGUGUUGGAGGGUUUCCGCCCUUCAGUGCCGGAGCUAACGCAUUAAGNNCUCCGCCUGGGGAGUACGACCGCAAGGUUG
rnacentral:rRNA from 1 species